rnacentral:rRNA from 1 species
UGCAGGGUAUAGACCCGAAACCCGGUGAUCUAGCCAUGGGCAGGUUGAAGGUUGGGUAACACUAACUGGAGGACCGAACCGACUAAUGUUGAAAAAUUAGCGGAUGACUUGUGGCUGGGGGUGAAAGGCCAAUCAAACCGGGAGAUAGCUGGUUCUCCCCGAAAGCUAUUUAGGUAGCGCCUCGUGAAUUCAUCUCCGGGGGUAGAGCACUGUUUCGGCAAGGGGGUCAUCCCGACUUACCAACCCGAUGCAAACUGCGAAUACCGGAGAAUGUUAUCACGGGAGACACACGGCGGGUGCUAACGUCCGUCGUGAAGAGGGAAACAACCCAGACCGCCAGCUAAGGUCCCAAAGUCAUGGUUAAGUGGGAAACGAUGUGGGAAGGCCCAGACAGCCAGGAUGUUGGCUUAGAAGCAGCCAUCAUUUAAAGAAAGCGUAAUAGCUCACUGGUCGAGUCGGCCUGCGCGGAAGAUGUAACGGGGCUAAACCAUGCAC